AGUGAACGCUGGCGGCGUGCUUAACACAUGCAAGUCGAACGAGAACGGAUUAUAGCUUGCUAUAAUUGUCAGCUAAGUGGCGCACGGGUGAGUAAUGUAUAGAUAACCUGCCCCCUAGAAAGGAAUAACAGUUGGAAACGAUUGAUAAUGCCAUAUAUGCAUUUAAUACAUAAGUAUGCAAGGGAAACGCUUUAGUGCUAGAGGAUGGGUCGGUAUGGUAUCAGUUAGUUGGUGAGGUAAUGGCUCACCAAGACUAUGACGCCUAACUGGUUUGAGAGGAUGAUCAGUCACACUGGAACUGAGACACGGUCCAGACUCCUACGGGAGGCAGCAGUGGGUAAUAUUGCACAAUGGACGAAAGUCCGAUGCAGCAACGCCGCGUGGAGGAUGACACAUUUCGGUGCGUAAACUCCUUUUAUAUAGGAAGAUAAUGACGGUACUAUAUGAAUAAGCACCGGCUAACUCCGUGCCAGCCGCCGCCGUAA
rnacentral:rRNA from 1 species